rnacentral:ncRNA from 1 species
CAAAGGCUUGGUCCUGACUUUUCUAUCAACUCUAGCUAAACUUACACAUGCAAGUAUCCGCCCACCUGUGAGAAUGCCCUCAGUUCCCUAUUCGGGAACAAGGAGCUGGUAUCAGGCACAUCUAAACUAAGCCCACGACACCUUGCUCAGCCACACCUCCAAAGGAACCCAGCAGUGAUAAACAUUAAGCCAUAAGUGAAAACUUGACUUAGUUAAGGCUAAUAUAGGGCCGGUAAAACUCGUGCCAGCCACCGCGGUUAUACGAGUUGGCCCAAGUUGACAGACAACGGCGUAAAGAGUGGUUAAGGAAAAUAAAAACUAAAGCCGAACACCUUCAAAGCUGUCAUACGCUCCCGAAGAUAUGAAGCCCAACCACGAAAGUGACUUUACACUACCUGAACCCACGAAAGCUAAGAAACAAACUGGGAUUAGAUACCCCACUAUGCUUAGCCCUAAACAUUGAUUACAUAUUACACCAAACAUCCGCCCGGGUAUUACGAACAUCAGUUUAAAACCCCAAGGACUUGGCGGUGCUUAACAUCCACCUAGAGGAGCCUGUUCUAGAACCGAUAAUCCCCGUUCAACCUCACCCUCCCUUGUUCCUUCCCGCCUGUAUACCUCCGUCGUCAGCUUACCCUGUGAAGGUCCAAUAGUAAGCAAGAUUGGCACAUCCCCUAAUACGUCAGGUCAAGGUGCAGCGCAUGAGAGGGGAAGAAAUGGGCUACAUUCGCUAAAAUAGCGAACACGAAUGAUGCAUUGAAACAUGCAACUGAAGGAGGAUUUAGCAGUAAGAAGGAAGUAGAGUGUCCUACUGAAACCGGCUCUAAAGCGCGCACACACCGCCCGUCACCCUCCCCUAAAACCAUAAAUCCCCUAAUUAAAACAAUAAAUCCUACAAAGGAGAGGAAAGUCGUAACAUGGUAAGCGUACCGGAAGGUGCGCUUGGAAAAAC